AGAGGGUGCGAGCGUUAAUCGGAAUUACUGGGCGUAAAGGGCGCGUAGGCGGUUAUAUAAGUUAGAUGUGAAAUCCCUGGGCCUAACCUAGGAACUGCAUCUGAUACUGUAUGACUGGAGUGCAGUAGAGGGUAGUGGAAUUUCCGGUGUAGCGGUGAAAUGCGUAGAUAUCGGAAGGAACACCAGUGGCGAAGGCGGCUACCUGGACUGACACUGACGCUGAGGCGCGAGAGCGUGGGGAGCAAACAGGAUUAGAUACCCUGGUAGUCCACGCUGUAAACGAUGAGAACUAGAUGUUGGCAGGUAUGACCUGUUAGUAUCGAAGCUAACGCGAUAAGUUCUCCGCCUGGGGAGUACGGCCGCAAGGCUA
rnacentral:rRNA from 1 species